rnacentral:rRNA from 1 species
GACGAACGCUGGCGGUGUGCUUAACACAUGCAAGUCGAACGGUAAGGCCCUUUCGGGGGUACACGAGUGGCGAACGGGUGAGUAACACGUGAGUAACCUGCCCUCAUCUCUGGGAUAACAGUCGGAAACGGUUGCUAAUACUGGAUAUGAGCUUGCAAGGCAUCUUGUGGGUUGGAAAGAUUUUUUUUGGUUGGGGAUGGACUCGCGGCCUAUCAGCUUGUUGGUGAGGUAGUGGCUCACCAAGGCUUCGACGGGUAGCCGGCCUAAGAGGGCGACCGGCCACAUUGGGACUGAGAUACGGCCCAAACUCCUACGGGAGGCAGCAGUGGGGAAUAUUGCACAAUGGACGGAAGUCUGAUGCAGCAACGCCGCGUGCGGGAUGACGGCCUUCGGGUUGUAAACCGCUUUCAAUUGUGACGAAGCUUUUUUGUGACGGUAGCAGUAGAAGAAGCACCGGCUAACUACGUG